UAGUAGCCUGAAAGCUGCUUUCCCCGAAGUAAUUCAUCACUGAACCGGCAUGAUGCAAGCGAUGUGAAAUGGUCUUGUUUUUCAAAAACUGAAUUGACUUUCAGCAUGGCUCUCAUCACCUCUAGGCCAGCAGUUAUAAGACCAGAACUAGUUUUGAGUGCUACUGAUGUGCAGGCUGGAGAAUCUGACCUGAACACAGGGACGUUGUCAUCAUCGCCACAAUAGCACUCAUGGCUGCAGUCUGCUUGGUCUAUUGCUGUUAAGAUGGGUGCAUGGUAACCAUUCUGUCCUCUUUGUUAUAUGGAGAAUGACCUCAGUUUUCUUUUCUGUCUGACUGGUCUUAGCCUCUGGAUUUCUUUUUGCUGUGUUCUGUUACAAAGGCCACCUCUCUUUGCCUCCCUCCUCCACAACUGGAAUCCAGCCAAAAUGUACCAGAACGAGAUGCUCCUAAUAUUUGAACCCUUUUGUAAGGGUGCUGAUUGCAACUUGGGAUAACUGACAUGACCUCCACAAGACAUGAAGGCACAGGCAGUGCGUGCUGUCUGUCUUCGUCAGUCUUGUAACAUCUCUAAGCGGAUCUCAGGAUUUUUGCACAGAUUGUCUUCUAUAGGCUCAAAUAUUACGUAGCCCAACCAACGGAAAUUUGCUCUAAUCUUUCAGGGCCUGCUGGCUCUAGCUAGCUGGAUAAACUAAUUUGUUAUUUUAUAGUAGGUGUUAAAAGUGAGUGUUCUCAGGGAAUAAAAAUCAACAAGAGUCUUUUAUUACAUAAUAUACAUAAUUUCCAAUAACUAUAGCUGGCCAGAAUCAGAAGAGAGAUGAGAUUAUUGAUCAAACUAGUGUUUCUGUGCUUUAGGCUGUUGCCAAUAAAUUCUCAUCACUACAAUGAAUCAAACAGAUAUUCAAUUAAACUAGCAGUGACUCAAACACGGGGCUUCAUGGGUUGUUUCUAAUAAUUAG